GGGUUCGAUUCCGGAGAGGGAGCCUGAGAAACGGCUACCNNNNNNNNGGAAGGCAGCAGGCGCGCAAAUUACCCAAUCCCGACACGGGGAGGUAGUGACAAUAAAUAACAAUACGGGGCUCUUUCGGGUCUCGUAAUUGGAAUGAGUACAAUUUAAAUCCCUUAACGAGGAACAAUUGGAGGGCAAGUCUGGUGCCAGCAGCCGCGGUAAUUCCAGCUCCAAUAGCGUAUAUUAAAGUUGUUGCAGUUAAAAAGCUCGUAGUUGAAUUUCGGGAUUGACACAUCGGUCGUGCCUUAAGGGGUAUGAACUGGUGUAGUCAAUUUCUCACCUUCUGGAGAACCGCGAUGCCCUUAAUUGGGUGUCACGGGGAACCAGGACCUUUACUUUGAAAAAAUUAGAGUGUUUAAAGCAGGCAUUUUGCUUGAAUACAUUAGCAUGGAAUAAUAAAAUAGGACGGCAUGAUUCUAUUUUGUUGGUUUCUAGGAUCACCGUAAUGAUUAAUAGGGAUAGUUGGGGGCAUUAGUAUUCAAUUGUCAGAGGUGAAAUUCUUGGAUUUAUUGAAGACUAACUACUGCGAAAGCAUUUGCCAAGGAUGUUUUCAUUAAUCAAGAACGAAAGUUAGGGGAUCGAAGACGAUCAGAUACCGUCGUAGUCUUAACCAUAAACUAUGCCGACUAGGAAUCAGACGAUGUUAAUUUUUUAAUGACUCGUUUGGCACCUUACGGGAAACC
rnacentral:rRNA from 1 species